rnacentral:tRNA from 1 species
GGGAAUGUGGCUUAGUGGUAGAGUGCUUGCCUAGCAUGCUUGAAGCCCUGGGUUCGAUUCCUCAGUACCA